CAACAAUACAAGGCCUAACCUAGACUCAGUCAAAAUCGAUUUAUAUCACUUCUAAAAUCCCUUGCAAACUAAAACGGAACCUUCAAUUGAACUCAUCAAUCACACCUGAAAACGAAAUCAUAUCAUGUUCGCAUUCCUCUGUUUGUACCAUCUUCGCAUUCUCCAGAAUCUCCAACAAUCAAAACAAUAUCUCGUCAUCCUCAUCUCUCCUCUAUACUUCGAACUGUUACAAACAUAAGAGAUGCUAAAAUAAAUCCCUAAAUCUAUGAAAGAUCAACAUAGCAUAUUGAGCAAUGUGGAAAGCUUCGAAGGAGCGUACGUACUUGCGAGACAGAGCUUUGUCCGGGUGAAUUUUGUCGAUAAAAAAUGCAAUCCAAAGGAAAAUCAAAGAGAGAGUGAGGAUCUCGUGUAUGAGGGGAAUAUGCAGUGAAAUUGAGGUUUAGCUCAAGCACAAUUGAAGCUUCAAUGGCUGCCAAAUAGAGCUCUAUGUGAGAGUUUGGUGGGAGAGAGAGUGAAUGAGGGAGAUGAAAAUUUAGAGAUGAAUUGGUGAAGUCAUUGGUCCCAUUCAAUGAUUGGGGAUGUGAUGAAUCUAUAGAGAUUGGAGAUUUAACAGAGCUAACUCUGUUAAUUUUAGUUCAGUGUAAGUUAGUUAGGAAAAAACUCUGUUAUCACACUGCUAGAGAUUUUAGUUAGAAUUAGUUAGUUAUGGAGUUAAGGUUAAUUGUGUAAUUGUGAUUGACUUAGUUGUAAUGUUAUUGAAUCAGUUAGGUGCUUAGCUGUUAGUUAACUUUGUAUUGAAAUUUAGUUAGUUCAGUUAGGGAAUGUGCUAUGUUGGUUUUGUGUUGUAUUUUAGUGAACUAUGCCUUUGUAAUUGAAAUCCAUCCGUUCAAAGUGAAGAAAUGUUAACAUGUUAAAAAUCGGUUA